GAGAAGCUUACUGUUACUCUGAAUCAUGGAGGAAGGAAUAAAAUAAGGAGAGGCAGUUACGUCACAUUUCUUGAAGCCGGAAGUAGGGAAGGGUAGAGAAGGCUCCUUCUCGCAAGGUUGGGCACGCUAACUCGCUGACGCAUGCGUCGUUAGCGGCUAGCAGACUAUCACGUCGCGCCUGCAGAGCGUCGGGGCGCCGUCAGCUGACAGACGAGCCGAAGAACGAAGCAUGUAAUUGUAUCGAAGAACAAAGGAGCGGCAAUGCCUUCUUGCAGUGUGCCCGGGUGCCGCUCGCGCGCGAUAAGAAAGGAACCGGGCGUCGCCUUCCACGCCUUUCCCAAAGAUCCCCAUCGUCGGAGGCUAUGGAUCGAAGCCAUAAGACCCGGUCAACGCGACUGGGAACCGGCGAAGUCGGCUUGCGUGUGCUCAAAACACUUUGCACUCGAACAAUUCAAUCGGGCGUCGCCGCUGGUAGUUCGCCUCCACGAGGAUGCCGUCCCUGCCCUGGUGAGAGACCGCAAUAACUGCGCCCUGGAGAU
rnacentral:lncRNA from 1 species